AAAUUGAAGAGUUUGAUCAUGGCUCAGAUUGAACGCUGGCGGCAGGCCUAACACAUGCAAGUCGAACGGUAACAGGAAGCAGCUUGCUGCUUUGCUGACGAGUGGCGGACGGGUGAGUAAUGUCUGGGAAACUGCCUGAUGGAGGGGGAUAACUACUGGAAACGGUGGCUAAUACCGCAUAACGUCGCAAGACCAAAGAGGGGGACCUUCGGGCCUCUUGCCAUCAGAUGUGCCCAGAUGGGAUUAGCUUGUUGGUGAGGUAACGGCUCACCAAGGCGACGAUCCCUAGCUGGUCUGAGAGGAUGACCAGCCACACUGGAACUGAGACACGGUCCAGACUCCUACGGGAGGCAGCAGUGGGGAAUAUUGCACAAUGGGCGCAAGCCUGAUGCAGCCAUGCCGCGUGUAUGAAGAAGGCCUUCGGGUUGUAAAGUACUUUCAGCGGGGAGGAAGGUGUUGUGGUUAAUAACCGCAGCAAUUGACGUUACCCGCAGAAGAAGCACCGGCUAACUCCGUGCCAGCAGCCGCGGUAAUACGGAGGGUGCAAGCGUUAAUCGGAAUUACUGGGCGUAAAGCGCACGCAGGCGGUCUGUCAAGUCGGAUGUGAAAUCCCCGGGCUCAACCUGGGAACUGCAUUCGAAACUGGCAGGCUUGAGUCUUGUAGAGGGGGGUAGAAUUCCAGGUGUAGCGGUGAAAUGCGUAGAGAUCUGGAGGAAUACCGGUGGCGAAGGCGGCCCCCUGGACAAAGACUGACGCUCAGGUGCGAAAGCGUGGGGAGCAAACAGGAUUAGAUACCCUGGUAGUCCACGCCGUAAACGAUGUCUACUUGGAGGUUGUGCCCUUGAGGCGUGGCUUCCGGAGCUAACGCGUUAAGUAGACCGCCUGGGGAGUACGGCCGCAAGGUUAAAACUCAAAUGAAUUGACGGGGGCCCGCACAAGCGGUGGAGCAUGUGGUUUAAUUCGAUGCAACGCGAAGAACCUUACCUGGUCUUGACAUCCACGGAAGAAUUCAGAGAUGGAUUUGUGCCUUCGGGAACCGUGAGACAGGUGCUGCAUGGCUGUCGUCAGCUCGUGUUGUGAAAUGUUGGGUUAAGUCCCGCAACGAGCGCAACCCUUAUCCUUUGUUGCCAGCGGUCCGGCCGGGAACUCAAAGGAGACUGCCAGUGAUAAACUGGAGGAAGGUGGGGAUGACGUCAAGUCAUCAUGGCCCUUACGACCAGGGCUACACACGUGCUACAAUGGCGCAUACAAAGAGAAGCGACCUCGCGAGAGCAAGCGGACCUCAUAAAGUGCGUCGUAGUCCGGAUUGGAGUCUGCAACUCGACUCCAUGAAGUCGGAAUCGCUAGUAAUCGUGGAUCAGAAUGCCACGGUGAAUACGUUCCCGGGCCUUGUACACACCGCCCGUCACACCAUGGGAGUGGGUUGCAAAAGAAGUAGGUAGCUUAACCUUCGGGAGGGCGCUUACCACUUUGUGAUUCAUGACUGGGGUGAAGUCGUAACAAGGUAACCGUAGGGGAACCUGCGGUUGGAUCACCUCCUUACCUUAAAGAAG
rnacentral:rRNA from 1 species